UCCAUGGGCUGUGUGGCCUUAGGGUCUUGCAAGUCAGAUAAAAGCAGAGGUAAACCACACAGCCGGAGAGAAACCUGCCUGCAAGGAACCCACAGGUCGUCAGAGUCCUCGCGGACUGACUCAUGAAGAGCACAGCUAAUUCCACUCAAUGAAAGGCGUGGGAAAUGUGCCAGGGCCUCAUGGACUCUCACGCCGCUCAGGUACUUGAAGGUAAAUAAAGGGGACAGGAAGAGGGAAACGUGUUUGGACUUGGAGCGUUCCGAUUUUCAAUCUGGAGGCUCAGGUUCAGCCAGAGGAGAGUCGUAGGUCAGCAGGAGAACACACUGAGCUGUGAGUGAUGGGCGAUCCGGAAAGCUGAGUCAAGGCGAUUCGUGGGAAUCUGAAAAGUUGGCACAGAGUCCCAUGGAGCCGUCAUGCACCUCCUGCUGGUUACAUCUUACCUCACUGCGGAGCAAAGCUCAGACCAGAGGCUGGCAGGCACAGCGUGUGCAGUUCUGGGCCAUUUCAUGACGCGUUCCACUCCCAUUUGGCUUGGAUCCACUCCUCCAACCAAAACGUCUCUGGCUACUGUCACCAAGGCCUCCAAGUUGCUGAGCCACCGCCCUUUGCUUUCCCGGUGGCCCCUCUGCCGACUGAGCGUGCUGACCACACUGUCUGGAAGGCCUUUCCUGGCCGCCGCCCCUCCUCUCGAUGCUCCCUCGCUCCCCUUUGUAGGUACCCCUGGCUCUCAAGAGACUCACCUUCCCCUGGACACAGACAGCCUGUGG